rnacentral:tRNA from 1 species
GUUAUUUUGGCAGAAUAGUGCAAUGGAUUUAAACCCCAUAUAUAAAGCUUAGCGCUUUUUUUAGAA